GCCGGGCGCGGUGGCUCACGCCUGUAAUCCCAGCUUCUGGGGAGGCCGAGGUGGGCGGAUCACCUGAGGUCAGGAGUUUGAGACCAGCCUGGCCAAGAUGGUGAGACCCCAUCUCAA
rnacentral:SRP_RNA from 1 species